CCAACCUGAAAACCUGGAUGUUAGGAAUAGUUCCUGAGCCCGUGGGCAAGGCUGGCUAGAUGAUCCUCUGCAUGGAUACUUGCACUCAAGUGUGUUGUCUUUCAUCAGGUCUGCAGGGAACAACAGUACUGAGACUUGUCAAGUCUGCUGCCCCUUCAUCUCAGUCUUUCCCAGUUUUGGACUAUGUAGCCCCUUCCCAAAGUUUCCUAAAAAAGAAAGAAGGAUGAAAGAUCAUGAAAAAAAUGAAAGAUUAUGAAAAAACUGAAAAGACGGAAGUUCUUCACGUGCAUCAAUGAGCUAUGAAAAGUGAAAUUCACAUUUGCUAUCUCUUUUGAGUGAGGCUUUGAAGCAGAAUGUAGCUCCCAAAGGCAUAUCUUUCCCCAGGAAAGGAUGUGAGGCAGCAAUGGUGGUGCUUGAAAACAACAGCUUGGGAUUGCUAAUGGUUUACAGCAGCAGCCUGAUGACGUACUUUUGCUGGAAGACCAGCUCUCUGAACUGCAGGAAUAAAAAGCAGAGCUUGGCAUCUGAGAGCAAGUGUGAUCUAUGAGAUGAAGUGACCCAGCCCAGGAUAUCUCCUGCUUAUUCCCUGCAACCUGGCAUUGAAUCUUCAUGUCUGACUCUUCCUGUGUUUGAAACAAACUCUUGUUUUUUUAUAGAUCUACUUAAGCACCACAUAUGCAUUUGACUGUAACCCCGAAUGAGGCUGAAUGUGUAUGUGAGAAAGAUGGAAGUAAAAUAAAGUAAAUGAAAGCCCUCUCCAAGGAUUUUGGACCACUCCAGAUUCUUUCAAAGAAACAAAGGUUUCUGUUUACAAAGUGAGACAGCAAUCAGUCUCUUUCUAUCUUUGGGCCUUGCGUCUGCAAGGUGCUUUUAGAAAGUGUACAAAAUAUUUUACGUUUUUCAAUUUCUUCACUUCUUGAGUUGGCAUAUGUGUUUCUGUGCCAAUUCAGUCUGGUUCCAUGCAUCUUCUGCAGAUACUAGUGUGCAGCAAAUGGUCCCUUCAUUCAAGUUGGUUCCCAUUUACAGAUUGCAUUCAGUUCUUCUGCUGCUCUGCCUCAAAGCCCUUCCCAAAUGGGGAUCAGGCAGUGGCACAACCGUGGUAGCCAUGAAAUGGUAAGCUUCAUGCUUGGAGGGGUGUCUUUGUUACUAGCAAAUCCUCUGCCAGUUAAUUGCAGCUGUAAUAAAAUUUUAGCUCACUUUCUUUGUGAGAUACCAUUGGCAAGUCAUUCAGCAAAUCUUUCCACUCACCCACAUCCAGUAAGGUUCCUCUUUUUUUUUCUUUCUUUUUUUUUUUUUUUUUCCUGAAACGAGAAGAUAGCUGUUACAAUUCAGCCAGUCUGUAUUUUUCCUAUAUCUGACCAUCCCUUUUGCUGAAAGAAAACUACAUGAAGUCCACUGACCAUAAAAGGAUGGCUUUUGUUCUUCAUGUACUUAGUUGGUGGCUGAUGUUCAUAUGUCUUCUCUGCUUCAAUUCAAGCAAAUACCCUGAUUGAAUUGGCAAAUUAACAUGACAAUGUCAAUGUCAAGACCCAUUACAAUAAAGAGAGAAAGAUCUUAUUUGCAGAGUAGUUUCUUAACAGCCUGGUUAUGGAGGAGCACUUUCCCCUCUGGAACUGCAUAGGUCAUGUAAUCACAAGGAAUAGUCUGUGGUGAUUAAUUUGUUCAUCUAUUUUCAUGCUUUUCUUCAAAAGAAUUCCUGAGAAGACAACAGAAAUGUCAUUUAUCCAGCUCCCAUCACAAUCCCUUAGCUGAUUUUUUACAGAAGUUCCUAGAAAAGCUGUUUUUCAUUCCUACAGUUUUGUUCGGUGACUUUAACUGAGGCAGACUGGCACAGGCAAUGAACUUCAAAAUUUUCUUUUCUUUUCUUUUCUUUUCUUUUCUUUUCUUUUCUUUUCUUUUCUUUUCUUUUCUUUUCUUUUCUUUUCUUUUCUUUUCUAGGGGGAUGUGAUUUGGCCACCUGAGGAUCUUUCACCGGCUUUGUGGAGCUUUCAGCUGGUUUUGAGGGCCAUAUCCUGUUCCAGCUGUAUCUGCACAAGAAAGAAUUUUAUCAUGGCUGAAAAGCCAAAUGCAAAUGCUGGUGCUUUUGGUGCUUUAUAGUGCUGAGACCGCUUCAGGAGAACAUUGGUGGGGAAGUUUGCCUGUGAAUUUUCUAAAAAGCUGAAGAUGAGCAACGCAGGUAAACCUGAGCCAUCGCCUGACUCCUCAUUUCAGAAAAGCAUUCCAAGUUCAUCAUUGUUCCCCAUGAAGGUUAUUGAUUAAUUAUAAAAUCAGAUGCUUAGAAUGGUUACUUGAGGGCUUAUAAAAUUGGAGUAAAAACAAAUAGGAAAGAUUCAAACAUUUAUAAAACAGAUUUAUUUCCGGAAUAUUUUGUUUGAAUAACUCCCCACUAAUUUCCAUCACUCUGUUUGGGGAAAAAAAACCACUUCUAUAAAGCUAGUUUUUAGUCUUCUUCACUGUCCUUUUCUUUUUGCUUCUUUUCUCUCUGAUACUUUUUUGUACAAUUCCCCCAACACACCACAAUAGCAAUGUAAUACUGCUUUCCAAACAUACAUGUGUGGAGGAUGGCUUUUUCUGAUGGUUAAUACUUGAUUUUGUUGCUCUGUUAGCCCCUCCUCUUGAAGUGGUGUGGCUGUUCUGUCAAUUUUUUUGUAAGAUGAGUGUGUGUUUGUAUGUGUGUGUGUGCAGAGGGAGUCCAGACUUCUGGUUGCUCUGGGCCACUAUAAUGGAUGUUUAGUUGUGAAUUGAAUGGAUACAAUAAAUACCACCUCUUUGAUAACU